rnacentral:rRNA from 1 species
AUUGAACGCUGGCGGAAUGCUUUACACAUGCAAGUCGAACGGUAGAGGGGGCAACCCCUCGAGAGUGGCGAACGGGUGAGUAAUAUAUCGGAACGUGCCCAGUCGUGGGGGAUAACGUAGCGAAAGUUACGCUAAUACCGCAUACGAUCUACGGAUGAAAGCGGGGGACUCGCAAGAGCCUCGCGCGAUUGGAGCGGCCGAUAUCAGAUUAGGUAGUUGGUGGGGUAAAGGCCUACCAAGCCGACGAUCUGUAGCUGGUCUGAGAGGACGACCAGCCACACUGGGACUGAGACACGGCCCAGACUCCUACGGGAGGCAGCAGUGGGGAAUUUUGGACAAUGGACGCAAGUCUGAUCCAGCAAUGCCGCGUGCAGGACGAAAGGCCUUCGGGUUGUAAACUAGCUUUGUACAGAACGAAAAGGACUCUGGUUAAUACCUGGGCUCAUGACGGUACUGUAAGAAUAAGCACCGGCUAACUACGUG